CCUACGGGAGGCAGCAGUGGGGAAUAUUGGACAAUGGGCGAAAGCCUGAUCCAGCCAUGCCGCGUGUGUGAAGAAGGCCUUUUGGUUGUAAAGCACUUUAAGCGAGGAGGAGGCUACCGAGAUUAAUACUCUUGGAUAGUGGACGUUACUCGCAGAAUAAGCACCGGCUAACUCUGUGCCAGCAGCCGCGGUAAU
rnacentral:rRNA from 1 species